GAAGAUGAUGACCCUCUUGUGCUCCUACGUUCCUGCUAGUUGGUGGAUGAAGAAUAGGAGAGAGCUUGCUUGAGUAGAAGAUAACCCGCGAGAAGGAUGUUUUGUAGCGCUUUCUCAUACAAAAGGAAAAGGCGUCACGACCGAAGAUAAGGAAAGAUCCCAGCUUUUCAUUGCUCUGUCGCGCCACCCCUCCUCCCAGAGCCGGUUCUUAUCCAUAGAUUUUUCAGCUAAAAGAUACGGUAUAUAUAUCAAUGAAAGCUGGCGCCUUUGGUUCUUGGUACGACUGGUACUUUUUCUCAUUUAUCGGUCUAGUUGGAAAAAUUUCCCCUCAAAGAUCAAGUUUUUCUUAUAUAUUAUGCUGCGCCCUUGCCCUUAACCUUCCUUUCUCUUCUAUAAAAAGGCUGGACGUCAAAUGUAACUGAUGCUUAUAUUCUAAAUAUGACAAGCAAGAAACCUACUAUUGCCGUACCUUAUGACAUUUAUGAAAAAGAAUGUUGUAUUAAGGGGUUUCUAUCAGUUAGUAACAAAGCCGGCAAUAUCCUUGAAUUCAGGGGUCAGCUACGGGACGUAUGUCUCCAUGUGUGCCUAAGAAGCGUCUAUCAUUAUACGCUGUUUAUCCAAUCAAAAACUUCUUCGUUUAGUUGGUAGAACCCACGCCAAUAUCGUAUUGACUCUCUCUCGUCCAAUAAGAGUUUUCGAGAGUUACUUUAUUCAAAUUCUCUCCUUUCCAAUGCUCCACAAGGAAAAAAGAGUAAUAGGACAACAAUCUUGCUUUCAAGUGAUGGUGGGGGAUCAAGAAGAGUGGCAAUAAAUUGUUUGAUCACAAAAUCACUAUGCAUAGGAAGUGGGUUAGACUUAAAUGUGCUAGUCAUAUUCUUCAUGAUGCUCUCUUUAUGUUUCAAUUCUUAUCUUUUAUGUGAGCAUCAUUGAAAUCAUCGUGCCUAACUAGGGGCGUUAAACGUUAGCGCUUGUUGGGAGGCAACCCAAUUUUAUUUUUGUUCUUUGCCUUUUUGCUCCUGUUUAUUAAUAAAUAAUUCAUAUAGCCUCUGUUUAGAUGUGGUUUUAUUGUUUUAAUUAGUGUUUGUGCCAAGUAGAACCUUUGGGAAGACUUGGGUGAAGUCUUUGCGAUCUUGCUGUAAAAAACAGAAACUUUUGCGCUCACAAGAUUAGCUGCCAUUUUUUAAUGGAGAGUGAUUUUGGGUUGAUUAUUUUUUCAGAUGAUUAAUAGACAAAUUCCUCAGGUCCAAAAAUUUAUUUAAGAAUUUUUGGAGUUACAGAAGUAUUCGAAUGAUACAGAUAACUACAGACUGUUCUGUUUUUGACAGAUUCUGUUUUCUAUGUGUUGUUUGCUUAUUUUGAUGAAUCUAUGAGUAGUAUCGGAGGGUAUGAACCAUAGAGAAGUUGGAAUACACUAGAUAUUACACCAAUAUGAAUUUAGAAUGAGUUCACAACAGUACCUAAGUGGUGAUUUAUUUUCUUAUACUAACGGAGCUUACGAGUUUUCUGUUAAGUUUUGUGUUGUGAAGUUUUCAAGUUUUGGGUAAAGAUUCGAUGGACUAUGGAAUAAGGAGUGGCAAGAGCCUAAGAUUGGGGAUGCCCAAGGCACCCCAAGGUAAAAUUCAAGGACAACCAAAAGCCUAAGCUUGGGGAUGCCCCGGAAGGCAACCCCUCUUUCUUCUUCGUUCAUCGGUAACUUUACUUGGAGCUAUAUUUUUAUUCACCAUAUGAUAUGUGUUUUGCUUGGAGCGUCAUUUUAUUUUAUUUUGUUUUGCUUGCUGUUCGAAUAAAAUAUCAAGAUCUGAAAUUCUUAAAUGAUAGAGAGUCUUCACAGAGUUGCAUAAUUAUUCGGCUACUCAUUGAUCUUCACUUAUAUCUUUCGGAGUAGUUUGUCAUUUGCUCUAGUGCUGCACUUAUAUCCUUUUAGAGCACGGCGGUGGUUUUAUUUUGAAGAAAUAGAUUAAAUCUCAUGCUUCACUUAUAUUAUUUUGAGAGUCUUUAGAACAGCAUGGUAAUUUGCUUGGGUUAUGACUUUAGUCCUAAUAUGAUGGGUAUCCACGAUGGUUAUAAUAAAAAAUUUGAUAUAAAGUGCAUUGAAUACUAUGUGAAGUUUGAUUCCUUAUGAUUGUUUUGGGAUAUGAGGAUGGUAAUAUUAGAGUCAUGCUAGUGAGUACUCCCUCCGUUCCUAAAUACUUGUCUUUCUGGGCAUUUCAACAAGUGACUACAUACGGAGUAAAAUGAGUGAAUCUACACUCUAAAAUAUGUCUACAUACAUCCGUAUGUGAUAUUCAUUUGAAAUGCCUAGAAAGACAAGUAUUUAGGAACGGAGGGAGUAGUUGUGAAUUUGAGAGAUACUUGUGUUAAAGUUUGUGAUUCCCGUAGCAUGCACGUAUGGUGAACCGUUAUGUGAUGAAGUCGGAGCAUGAUUUAUUUUUUGAUUGUCUUCCUUAUGAGUGGCAGUCGGGGAUGAGCGAUGGUCUUUUCCUACCAAUCUAUCCCCCUAGGAGCAUGCGCGUAGUACUUCAUUUCGAUAACUAAUAGAUUUUUGCAAUAAGUAUGUGAGUUCUUUAUGACUAAUGUUGAGUCCAUGGAUUAUACGCACUCUCACCCUUCCACCAUUGCUAGCCUCUCUAGUAUCGCGCAACUUUCGCCGGUACCAUACACCCACCAUUACCUUCCUCAAAACAACCACCAUACCUACCUAUUAUGGCAUUUCCAUAGCCAUUCCGAGAUAUAUUGCCAUGCAACUUUCCACUGUUCCAUUUAUUAUGACACGCUCCAUCAUUGUCAUAUUGCUUUGCAUGAUCAUGUAGUUGACAUCGUAUUUGUGGCAAAGCCACCGUUCAUUAUUUUCGUACAUGCCACUCUUGAUUCAUUAUCCCAGUACACCGCCGGAGGCAUUCACAUAGAUUCGUAUUAUUUUCUAAGUAUCGAGUUGUAAGUAAAUAAAAGUGUGAUGGUCAUCAUUAUUAGAGCAAUGUCCCAUGUGAGGAAAGGAUGAUGGAGACUAUGAUUCCCCCACAAGUCGGGAUGAGACUCCGGACGAAAAAUAAAAAAAAUAAAAGAGGACAUAAAAAAAGAGAAAGGCCCAAACAAAAAAAAAAGAGAAAAAAUGAAAGAAAAAGAGAGAUGGGACAAUGUUACUAUCCUUUUACCCCACUUGUGCUUCAAAGUAGCACCGUGAUCUUCAUGAUAGAGAGUCUCCUAUGUUAUCACUUUCAUAUACUAGUGGGAAUCUUUCUUUAUAAAACUUAGCUUGUAUAUUCCAAUGAUGGGCUUCCUCAAAAUGCCCUAGGUCUUCGUGAGCAAGCGAGUUGGAU
rnacentral:lncRNA from 1 species